CCUACGGGAGGCAGCAGUGGGGAAUAUUGCGCAAUGGAGGAAACUCUGACGCAGCAACGCCGCGUGGGUGAAGAAGGUCUUCGGAUUGUAAAGCCCUGUCGGGAGGGAAGAAAAGCACAUGGUGAAUGUGUCUGACGGUACCUUCGAAGGAAGCACUGGCUAACUCCGUGCCAGCAGCCGCGGUAAUACGGAGAGUGCAAACGUUGUUCGGAAUUAUUGGGCGUAAAGGGCGCGUAGGCGGCUUGGUAAGUCAGAUGUGAAAGCCCUGGGCUCAACCCGGGAAGUGCGUUUGAAACUGCUAAGCUUGAGUGCAGGAGGGAGAGGUGGAAUUCCAGGUGUAGGAGUGAAAUCCGUAGAUAUCUGGAGGAACACCGGUGGCGAAGGCGACCUCUUGGCCUGAAACUGACGCUGAGGCGCGAAGGCGUGGGUAGCAAACAGGAUUAGAUACCCUGGUGGUCCACGCGGUAAACGAUGCUCACUGGGUGCUGGUGGCAGACGCUGUCAGUGCCGUAGCUAACGCGAUAAGUGAGCCGCCUGGGGAGUACGGUCGCAAGAUUAAAACCUCAAAUGAAUUGACGG
rnacentral:rRNA from 1 species